rnacentral:rRNA from 1 species
AACGAACGCUGGCGGCAUGCCUAACACAUGCAAGUCGAACGAGACCUUCGGGUCUAGUGGCGCUCGUGUGCGUACCGCGUGGGAACCUGCCCUUAGGUUCGGAAUAACUCCCCGAAAGGGGUGCUAAUACCGGAUAAUGUCUUCGGACCAAAGAUUUAUCGCCUUUGGAUGGGCCCGCGUUGGAUUCGCUAGUUGGUAGGGUAAAAGCCUACCAAGGCGACGUUCCAUAGCUGGUCUGAGAGGAGGAUCAGCCACACUGGGACUGAGACACGGCCCAGACUCCUACGGGAGGCAGCAGUGGGGAAUAUUGGACGAGGGGCGAAAGCCUGAUCCAGCAAUGCCGCGUGAGUGAUGAAGGCCUUAGGGAUGUAAAGCUCUUUUACCCGGGAUGAUAAUGACAGUACCGGGAGAAUAAGCACCGGCUAACUCCGUG